GGUCGUAGCGUCUGUCGUGGAUCGGGGAGAACCAGCCGUGUGGGUUUUGAGCUUUUCUUUGAGGACUUCUAUCGAAUGUACUUCUCCAAAAAUGAAACGUUCUUGAAUACAUGUAAGACGUUUGUGUUCGAGGUGAUUGUGAAGAUCUAAUCAAGAAACCUAUAUGUUUUGAGGAUGCUUUUGAAUGGUCUAAAGAGCUUUUGAUUGAUCAUCAAAUGUUGCAAACCAAUGCCGAAAGCUCAAUUUGACAUAGUUCGAGUGAAAAGGGUUUUUCGCAUACUCUUCCUCUGAUUUCGACACUGAGAACAUGAGUUCACAAGAUCCUUGUUUCAAGAUCAUAGCACGAUGGUGACUAGAGUAGAUGGAAACCUUUGCUUCACGAAAGUGUUCUUGCCAGAAGAAUCAAGAUGUGCUACAAUGGUGAAUCCAUCACACGAUCCUGCUGCAUCUGUGCUCCAUAUAUGGACGAUGUUCUUCCAGGAAGAACCAGUUCAAGGUAGUGAAGCUGGCCAUGACAAACACUGUUGAGAUCAUGAGGGAGACCAUCUGCUGCAUUUUGUAACUUGUGAAUGUAUACCCAGCUGAUGAUAUUUGCAGACGGCAAUCUCCUCUGGGAAUAGCUUACAAUUCCUUGUAUGCUUUAACAUACUGUAAAAAGGAAAAUAAAAUGCAAUCCACAUCUACUGAA